UUUAUGGAGAGUUUGAUCCUGGCUCAGGAUGAACGCUGGCGGCGUGCCUAAUACAUGCAAGUCGAGCGAACGGACGAGAAGCUUGCUUCUCUGAUGUUAGCGGCGGACGGGUGAGUAACACGUGGAUAACCUACCUAUAAGACUGGGAUAACUUCGGGAAACCGUAGCUAAUACCGGAUAAUAUUUUGAACCGCAUGGUUCAAAAGUGAAAGACGGUCUUGCUGUCACUUAUAGAUGGAUCCGCGCUGCAUUAGCUAGUUGGUAAGGUAACGGCUUACCAAGGCAACGAUGCAUAGCCGACCUGAGAGGGUGAUCGGCCACACUGGAACUGAGACACGGUCCAGACUCCUACGGGAGGCAGCAGUAGGGAAUCUUCCGCAAUGGGCGAAAGCCUGACGGAGCAACGCCGCGUGAGUGAUGAAGGUCUUCGGAUCGUAAAACUCUGUUAUUAGGGAAGAACAUAUGUGUAAGUAACUGUGCACAUCUUGACGGUACCUAAUCAGAAAGCCACGGCUAACUACGUGCCAGCAGCCGCGGUAAUACGUAGGUGGCAAGCGUUAUCCGGAAUUAUUGGGCGUAAAGCGCGCGUAGGCGGUUUUUUAAGUCUGAUGUGAAAGCCCACGGCUCAACCGUGGAGGGUCAUUGGAAACUGGAAAACUUGAGUGCAGAAGAGGAAAGUGGAAUUCCAUGUGUAGCGGUGAAAUGCGCAGAGAUAUGGAGGAACACCAGUGGCGAAGGCGACUUUCUGGUCUGUAACUGACGCUGAUGUGCGAAAGCGUGGGGAUCAAACAGGAUUAGAUACCCUGGUAGUCCACGCCGUAAACGAUGAGUGCUAAGUGUUAGGGGGUUUCCGCCCCUUAGUGCUGCAGCUAACGCAUUAAGCACUCCGCCUGGGGAGUACGACCGCAAGGUUGAAACUCAAAGGAAUUGACGGGGACCCGCACAAGCGGUGGAGCAUGUGGUUUAAUUCGAAGCAACGCGAAGAACCUUACCAAAUCUUGACAUCCUUUGACAACUCUAGAGAUAGAGCCUUCCCCUUCGGGGGACAAAGUGACAGGUGGUGCAUGGUUGUCGUCAGCUCGUGUCGUGAGAUGUUGGGUUAAGUCCCGCAACGAGCGUAACCCUUAAGCUUAGUUGCCAUCAUUAAGUUGG
rnacentral:rRNA from 1 species